GUCCACGCCCUAAACGAUGGAUACUACGUGGGGGGCCCCCCAAAGGGUUCCCUUCCGGAGCGAAAGCGUUAAGUAUCCCGCCUGGGGAGUAUGAUCGCAAGGUUGAAACUCAAAGGAAUUGACGGGGGGCUCACACAAGCGGUGGAGCAUGUUGUUCAAUUCGAUGCAACGCGAAGAACCUUACCCGGGCUCGAAGCGUACGGAUUAGCUCUAUGAAAGUAGAGUGACACCUUAACCGGUGGAACGUACGUAGGUGUUGCAUGGCUGUCGU
rnacentral:rRNA from 1 species